rnacentral:rRNA from 1 species
UAACGGGUUGCUCCAGUGAGGAAUAUUGCACAAUGGGGGGAACCCUGAUGCAGCAACGCCGCGUGGAGGAUGACGCAUUUCGGUGUGUAAACUCCUUUUAUAUGUCAAGAAAAUGACGGUAGCAUAUGAAUAAGCACCGGCUAACUCCGUGCCAGCAGCCGCGGUAAUAGGGAGGGUGCAAGCGUUACUCGGAAUCACUGGGCGUAAAGGACGCGUAGGCGGGUUGGAAAGUCAGGUGUGAAAUCCUACAGCUUAACUGUAGAACUGCACUUGAAACUUCUAAUCUAGAGUAUGGGAGGGGGAGAUGGAAUUAGUGGUGUAGGGGUAAAAUCCGUAGAUAUCACUAGGAAUACCUAAAGCGAAGGCGAUCUCCUGGAACAUUACUGACGCUAAGGCGUGAAAGCGUGGGGAGCAAACAGGAUUAGAUACCCUGGUAGUC